CCUCUGCCUCCUAGACUGUUGACCACAGCCCAGACCCGUCAGAAUACCCAGAUGGAAGAUAUCUGACCCCAGAUUGACACCCAUAUAAGCUGUGUGUGUUUGCAGAUACAGUAGGAUUCUUUGGUGCUAGGUUGUCCUCGGGUUCGUCUUAGGUGGAAUUCGAUGUAAAUCCACUUGUGUGCUUUUGGGUCUUUGACGAUUAUUUGGGGCCUGGAGGAACACGGCUAUGAAAUCAGUGGCUGUGUUAAUGUGCUGCCUUGCAGCGACCCUUUCACAACAGCCUGGAAGACUAGACCCACAUAAUGAUCCAAAACUACACGAAGGACCAGGACCCCACACUCACACUCACACGGAAAUCAUCACCAUCAUACGCAAUUGGACCCACGAAGAUGUCCAUCCUCCACCCCCUCCUCCAUCCCCCUGUGAUGAAGUGACUGAGUGUCCCAUUGACUUGUACUGUCGUGGUGGACUCCUCUGAGAGCAUCGCCCUGCAGCAGCCCCCUCCAUUGGGAAGCCUGGUGAAGAAGGUGGCAGAUUGGACGAGGGAGUUUGCCCUG